AAUUUUCAUGGCCAUGGGACAAAGAACCCCAUCUUUAGCUGAACAAUGGAAAAGUUCUGCAACAUUUUUGACCCACAACUUGGGGGCUCAAGUGGAGAAGCGGACGGAUCAUCAGCUCCCUGCCACUCUCCCCUCCUUGCCAGGGCUGGGACACAUGGGUCAAGGUGCAGCGGAAGGCUGGCUGGCGUUUUCCACCAUGUGCCCAUGCAGUCUCCUCCUCCCGGAGUCGGGAAGCCCAGCUCCAACCCACAGCAAUUAAACUUAUCUCCCUGGUGAAGGAAACACUUGCAUAAGAAUAAGAGGUUCUUCCGCAGGCAUUUUAAAACCUUUUUUUCUUUCCUCUUCUCUACAGUAUCAGCAGUUAAGUUUAAGCAAGUUUUUUUCUUUCUAGAAGACAUUUUACUAGGCGAGAAAUGAUAAGAAUCUCUGUGUAUAUUCUCUGUAAAGCUUUAAUUGUGAAAAAUGACUUGUA